GUGGGGAAUAUUGCGCAAUGGGGGAAACCCUGACGCAGCCACGCCGCGUGGGUGAUGAAGGCCUUCGGGUUGUAAAGCCCUGUCGGGGGGGACGAAUUUUGACGGUACCCUCCAAGAAAGCACCGGCUAACUCCGUGCCAGCAGCCGCGGUAAUACGGAGGGUGCGAGCGUUGCUCGGAAUCACUGGGCGUAAAGCGUACGCAGGCUGCUGCGCAAGUCGGGUGUGAAAGCCCGGGGCUCAACCCCGGAAUUGCGCCCGAGACUGCGCGGCUUGAGUGCGGGAGAGGAAAGCGGAAUUCCUGGUGUAGAGGUGAAAUUCGUAGAUAUCAGGAGGAACACCAGUGGCGAAAGCGGCUUUCUGGCCCGAUACUGACGCUCAUGUACGAAAGCGCGGGGAGCAAACAGGAUUAGAUACCCUGGUAGUCC
rnacentral:rRNA from 1 species